rnacentral:misc_RNA from 1 species
UCUUGAUCACCAAAAUGGCUGAAUCCAACAGAAGAUUCACCACCGUGAGAGGCGGCGCCACCGUUCCCUUGCCACCACCCGGUGGCGUCAAGGCUGGGGCACUGGCCCUUUUCGCCGUGAUGGGUGUACCUCAAGCUAUAACUUAUAGCAUUCCUUUUGCUUUGGCAUCAAUAUUUUGUAACACUGCUGGUGCUGGUCAAGGACUUUCUUUGGGAGUUCUAAAUCUUUCAAUAGUUAUACCACAG